AAAGGGGAAGGGGGAGAGCGGCGGCGGUGGCGGCAGCGUCCGGGGAGAGGCGAUCGUCGGGGGAGACCGAGCGCCGGAGCCGAGAACCGGCCGACCGUGGAGGAAGCUUUAAAGCUCUUCCUUCCUUCAAGAAGAUCCCCACAAAUCGGGUGAAGAAGCUUGGGGAUCCGAGAGUCUUCCUCCUCCGAUUUUCCGCCGGAAAGGUCGCCGGAACACCCCCACCGGACCGAGGGGAAGAGUCAGCGGUGCCAGGAGGUUUUGAUCAGGGGACUCAGCACCCCAGCUCGUAGGUUGUGAUCCAGAUCUGUAUUUGAGUCAGUCUACAAUUUCUAGUUGCAGGAUGCAUAGUUUUGGAUGGGAUGGGCGCAGAGUG